rnacentral:tRNA from 1 species
GUCACCAGGUGGGCCACCAGGGCGGCCAGUCGGUCGUUGUCACCGAGGCUGAACUCGCUGGUGGCCACCGCGUCGUUCUCGUUGAUGAUGGGGACG